UCGCUCCCUGCCUCGCACGCCGCACCGAUCCUCCGCACCGGCAUUCCGGCAACCGCGCCUCCGCCUCUGGAACCUACCUGCGCCGCCUCCGAUGACUGCCGCCGCACCUCACCAUGACCGCUCCUGUGCUCCUUGUGCCGCCAGAUCGCACAUCACCGCUUGAGCCGAGCGGUGGCUCCCCCGACGACCACUCCCAGCGCCGCUCUCCCCCACGCCCUAAACCUCACCCACACCUCUCUCCCCCACCCCCUAAUCCCCUUUCAGCUCCGCAAGAUCGCAUAUCACCGCCUAAGCCCAUUGCCCUCUUACAGGGAAGGUAAUACCUGCUGUUUCUUCUCUUUUCAUUGUUUGUGUGCAAAUGUUGGAACAAAAUCACUGAUUACUGGUGCCUCUGAUUUCCAAUACUCGGAUUUCAGAUCAUUGCUCAAUUUCAUUUCAUUUGUCAAGGUUGGAAUUGCUGCGGGAUAAGUGAAGCCUCGACACGACGCACCCUCGUCUCAUUCCUCAGUUUACAGAGUCCAGUUCCAAAAAGGUAUAAUAUACCUCUCUUCCCCCAAGCCCCCCAAGGAACUUUUACGGUAUAAUGUACUACCAGUAUAUACUACUAGUAUUUACAAGGGUAUGAUAGAAAUAUGCUAAAAAUUUGUAAGGACAAUUUAGAAAUUCGUUCUUCAGAUCAAUCCCUAUCUGUUGACGCCGUCAUGUGACUCAAGCUCGCGAGUGAGAGGUAGAGAUGAGCCCUGCCGGCAGCGCAAUUCGUCCUUGUCGGCGGUUGAAUUCCUCGGUGUCCCGCUUCCCGCCAAAGUGAACAGUCACCAUCUCCCCGUGGCGGCAUGGCCACAUGCAGUCCCGCAUACUGGCGGCAAGCCGGCCGGCAAUGCAGUGCCCUCUGCCGAGCCAGAGUUAGAAUUAAACACCAUGCACACCCUGAAUCUGUGCAUGAAAAUGCAUACUUGUACAGCCUACAUAUGUCUAUUAUUAAUCUUUACCCUCUUCGUUCAUGCACUCCUGCAAGAAGGGUCAUGUUCUUACAAAUACUCUAUACCAUUUUAAUCUGAAGAAUUUAAUCUGAAGAUGGCCUUUGCCUGGGGUGAACGACGGGAAUGGGGAAUCAGAAUCACUAUUGGAUCUAGCGGGGGAACACCCGGUGCUUGUAUGCUAGAAUAUAUGGAAUACUUAUGCGCAAUAAAAUAGAAAGACAAAUAUGCCCUUUUUAAUUUUAUACUGUAAGUGGGUAGGUAAAUCAAUCUACACCGUUAGAUCAUUUAUAAUGGUAGUAUAUAUUACCAGUAUAUUGUACCGUAAAAGUUCUCUCUCUAAUAUGUUCUCUUUGUCCAUCAGUAGCCCUCCUGUUCUGAAGUUUUGUUUUUCAUUUGAUGACUAACCUGUUCUAAAGUGGUGUCUCUGAUUUAAUUACUGAGUACUGGUGUAGCCGAAUCACUGAUUACUGGUGUCUCUGAUUUAAUCUUUAUGACAUCAUGAAAUUUUAAUAGCACGAAUCUUAUAUAUGAAGCGAUCCUUAAAAGUUAAAUCCUACUUAGAGAUGAGAUUUUAGGGGGUUUCGGUGAAGUGACUCGUAGUUCUCAGGGUUUGGGAAAUCAUUGGAUUGUCGGUGAAGUAAUGUUCAUGAUGACAUAGAGCUCAGCUGCUAAUUUUGGUAAAAUAAACUGCAUGGUGAUGAUAUCUUUGAAGUUCAGGCUAAUAAAUUUCAUGAUGAUAUGCUCCAUUUAAAAACAGUUUAAUUUGGGUUGGAAAAUUAGGACAUUACAGCAAUUUGUCCUAUUACUUUUACUGGGCUGAAUAUAUACGAUGGAAUUGCUUAGCGAUUUGUGGUAUUAUACCUAUGGCCCUUCUCUCUCUUCCCCCAUCUCUAAUAUGUUCUCUCUGUCCAUCAGUAGCCUGCCUGUUCUGAAGUUUUGUUUUUCAUUUGAUGAAUAACAUGUUCUAAAGUUGCCUUCUAAGACAUUUUAAUCUGAACACACCCACAUAAUGAAAGAACAGGUCAAUUCGGUCAUUUGUCUGAAUUUAUAAAUUUGUUUUAAUUUCCUUUUUCGUUCACAAAUUUGUUGCUUUGCAAUCAAUAUAAUUUCAGACACAUAUUCAAGCUGUUAAUAUAUCAAUGACCACUACAUAUCCUAUAGCAACUGAUUAAAGCUUCUAAUAAUGGAAAUAUUUACUAAAAUAGUUUUCUUUUCUCAGCAUUGGAAAGUGUUAGGGCUGCCACACUCAGGUGCGUUGAGACUGAAUCUUGGAUAUACAUUACUGAAGAACUGAACUCUAAUUGUGAGUGCCUUUGUACUUCCUAUUCUUUUAGUCAUAAAAACUGCUCUGAUUGUUUUCUUUUUUUUUUCUUAAGAAAAAAAAUCUCAGGUUUGCACUUUAGAUUGCAUCUCAGGCUAUUUUUUUCCGCUGCUCUAAGUAAUUUGUUAUUAUUGCUCGUUGGUC
rnacentral:lncRNA from 1 species